GCCUGGGAAAGAAGCAUCUGACAAGAGACAGAGAAACACCCAGAAGAGGAAGUGACUGUAAAGAAAUGUUCUGCAGAGGGACUUCAUGAUACCCAGGUCUAAGUGCCAUAUGUGUGUGUCCCCUGAGAUGGAGAGCAGAACAUACAGGCUAAGGAUAUGCUGUCUGGCAAGAAGACCAAAUCUUGGACUCCCAGUUUGUCACGUGAUCAGUAAGAAAAACAACCUGUACUCCAGUGUGCUGUGU